GACGUAGGAUGCGAGCGUUGUUCGGAUUUAUUGGGCGUAAAGCGUGCGUAGGCGGUGGUAUAAGUCUGGUGUGAAAGCUCGGAGCUCAACUCCUGAGAUGCACUGGAAACUGUACGACUCGAGAGCGGUAGGGGAAGGUGGAAUUCCCAGUGUAGCGGUGAAAUGCGUAGAUAUUGGGAAGAACACCGGUGGCGAAGGCGACCUUCUGGGCCGCAUCUGACGCUGAGGCACGAAAGCCUGGGGAGCGAACCGG
rnacentral:rRNA from 1 species